rnacentral:rRNA from 1 species
UACGUAGGGGGCAAGCGUUGUCCGGAAUCAUUGGGCGUAAAGCGCGUGUAGGCGGUUCGGUAAGUCUGCUGUGAAAGUCCAGGGCUCAACCCUGGGAUGCCGGUGGAUACUGUCGGACUAGAGUACGGAAGAGGCGAGUGGAAUUCCCGGUGUAGCGGUGAAAUGCGCAGAUAUCAGGAAGAACACCCGUGGCGAAGGCGGCUCUCUGGGACGGUACUGACGCUGAGACGCGAAAGCGUGGGGAGCGAACAGG